AUGCCGAUCGCCGUCUCAGGCCAGAUCGGCAAUCUUGGUGUAAAACGGUCUGGCGUGGUUGGGGAGAAGAUCGAAGAUGACACGAAAGCCAACAAGAGUGCUAGCAUGGUGUCGGCGGCAUCGGCAAGACCACUCGCGGCAAGAAGGUCUUCAACGACGAGGCCAUCCAAGGCGAAUCACACUAGAGUACAUGAGCAUCACACAAGAGUUUAUGAACACAAGCAUCACGCAAUGAGGUUGAGCUUUUUAGGACAGCCAUUGUUACCAUCGACAAGCACCUUCUCAGACUUGAGUGGCAGACGGAAGCAUGGUCAUGCUUGUGUUCUCUUAUUGCCAGCACCAUCCGGGACAAAAUGUUAUUCUUGUGUUUGA
rnacentral:rRNA from 1 species